CAAAAGUUUUGAAUGUUGGAUAGAGGGCAUAUGUACAAAUUAAAAGAGAAUUAUGAGGUUGUUCUAUACCAGAUACAGCAAUGUUAAGAUGAAUUGUAUAUAUAAAGUUUAUGAAUCUUAAAUUCAAGCAUAUUUUAGAAAAUUUAAUAUGGUUGUAGAUAUGCUAUUAUGAGCACGAUACGAUGAUGAAGAUGAUAUGGUUGAUGAUGAAAAAAAUAACGGCACUAACUUUUAUUUGACUUUGUGUACAAGAAGGGAUGGAUUGUGUUUGGCUAUACCUCUUGAAUUAUUCUCAAAAGAGUUAUAUGAUAGUCAAUGAUUGUAUAUAGGAAAAUACUUAAAUACAUUAAUGCAAGAAGAAGAUUAGACAAACAAAGAAUUUAAGAAGAUUCAAAAGAAAGCAUAUGGAUAUUUUCUUUGAAAUGAUUUUUUGGAAAGCAUCUAAAGAAGAAAGAAGAAGCAUUGCAAUGAAUAAUUUAGGGUUUGUUUAGAAUUUAGGAUUUUCUUAAGGUUUAGGAUUUAGAAUUUUCUUAGGAUUUAGGAUUUAGGAUUUUUUUAGGAUUUAAGAUUUGGCAUAGGAUUUUAUUGAAGUCUAUUAGGGUUUCAAUUAGGAUUAAAUUAGGACUUCAUUGAGAUUUAUUUAAGAUAUAUUUGUAAUUAUUUUAAUAUUUUUUUAUGACUUUUUAAGGAUUCUUUUAAAAUUUAUUAUAGAUUUCUUUUGAACUCCUUUAAGAUUUUUUAUUGUUUCUUUUU
rnacentral:lncRNA from 1 species